rnacentral:lncRNA from 1 species
UUGUCUCUGCAGCUUUUCUUGCAGAGCUAUUGGAAAGUCCAGUGAGCACAAGAGAGGAGAGGGUCGAGUAAAGUAAGAGGUGAGACAGGAUGCUGAGCCACAUGCCAUUCUGAUAGAGAAUCAUUUCCACACUUCUGGCUGGCUGUCUAUAAAGCAGGCCCUCUCUUCCCAGAACAGUCUGCAAAUAGAGAUUCUGAUGGAGAGAGGCAACAGUAAAACAGGAUGGGAGAAGACAUAGCCCUUAAUUUCACAGGGCUCUCAUGAAGGAAACUGAGUGGGGACAAGUGUCUUCGGAAGACACGGAGUGGAAUCAUCCUUCAUCCAGAUCCUAAGCUCUGCU